rnacentral:lncRNA from 1 species
AACUGAGUCUGCCUUCUCCUUUGAACUCCUUGCUAACCAUGAAGGCAUGCUUCAGAGAGCUAUCCUCAUUAACAUUCCAGGUCCCUCUUCCCUGUCAGCAAUAAACAAGCCCUGCAUCAAUGGCCUUCUUCCUUCCAGCUUUACAAAUGAGUGGCUCAGUUCCAUGUUUUACUGCGGAUCCAGGUGCCCAGGCAUACAACGCUGGGCUAAGAAGCACGCAGGAGAGUCUAAAAAUAGAACAGCAGUUUUGGACGCAUACCAGAGCAGCUACUUCAUCUCAACUUGCUUUGCACACUAAGCCUAAUGGGAUCCAUCAGGCGGGAGUUCUCUUGUGCACUCUCUCUCACCGCCUUUCCCCUCUCUCCCCAGCUGCCUUCUACCAUCAGCACCUUCCUGGUGAAGGGAGCAAAGGGAGGUCAGGCAGGGUUCAAAAAUAGUGUGCCCUCAUGGUUUUAGUUUACAAGCCCCGAGAGACCUGGGAGCUGCAAUUACUCCUUUCUUGAGAGAAUUUCUAGAAAAGAACAGGAGGCCCAGCACACGGUCACCUUUGCCCAUGUACACUUUGGUCCAAAACCAAGACUGUCAUAUUUAGCAAAGGCUCAAGUAGCAUUUCCUAAUCUCUCAAAUAAAUGUGACCUAGGCCCAUACUUACAGAUUCCUUGAGAAGUUAAAUAGAAAACUUGACUAAACUGACUAUUCCUCUUAAAGGUACCACCUGCUUGGCUUGAGGCUAAGAACUUGAGAUCAAAUACACAGUCACAUAUGGAGGGACUGUCUAGGGUCUGUGAAAGCCACCCUCCUUCCACCAAGUAUCCUAAUGCUAUCCUGCCUGGGCACAAGGCCUCUCAGAAUGCCAACUGUACUAAAUAAGCAAGGCUCCUUUGUGCUGUGGAUACACCUCAUGAUAAAGAAUACUGAUCACAGAAAGAGACUUAGCAUGACCCGAGUAUUUCUUCUAUUACUAUCUGCAAGAUAAUGCAGAUGUUCCAAACAGGGAUGUAUUAUUCCAACAAGUGCCACCCUUGUAGAGUCAGAGUAUGAGAAAGAUUGAGUAUCACAGAAACUAAAAUAUAAACCCCUUUUUCAUUUUAAUUGUUUUGGAGAUUAGCCAGAUACAUUUUUAAAAAAUUGAUCCAACAGCAGAUUUUGUCUACUAGCUUUGUGAUGGUGUUAAGGCCUUUUAAGUUAUAACUUGGUUUCACAUAAUACCAUUACAAAACAAAUAUGCCAAACCACCUCAAGAAAAGCCAUCCUCCAUAUAAUCAGCAAUAAUUAAUUCCCCUAAGAAUUUCUCUCAGAACAAGUUGCAACACGAUCAUUUAAUCCUCCAGCCACCAGAGGACAGAGGUACAUCUUCCCUCAGGCCCCCCACAUUCGUU